ACCCAGCUGACGAGUCCUAAAUAGGACGAAAUGUGUCAAACUGGAU
rnacentral:hammerhead_ribozyme from 1 species